UACGUAGGUGGCGAGCGUUGUCCGGAUUUACUGGGCGUAAAGGGAGCGUAGGCGGACUUUUAAGUGAGAUGUGAAAUACCCGAGCUCAACUUGGGUGCUGCAUUUCAAACUGGAAGUCUAGAGUGCAGGAGAGGAGAGUGGAAUUCCUAGUGUAGCGGUGAAAUGCGUAGAUAUUAGGAGGAACACCAGUUGCGAAGGCGGCUCUCUGGACUGUAACUGACGCUGAGGCACGAAAGCGUGGGGAGCAAACAGGAUUAGAUA
rnacentral:rRNA from 1 species